rnacentral:rRNA from 1 species
CUGCGACAGGACGGAAAGACCCCAUGGAGCUUUACUGUAGCUUGACAUUGGGUCUUGGUACUACAUGUACAGGAUAGGUGGGAGGCUUUGAAACCAGGACGCCAGUUUUGGCGGAGCCAUCCUUGGGAUACCACCCUUGUAGUACUGGGACUCUAACCAUAGGCCAUGAAUCUGGUCUUGGGACACUGUCAGGUGGGCAGUUUGACUGGGGCGGUCGCCUCCCAAAAGGUAACGGAGGCGCUCAAAGGUUCUCUCAGUACGGUCGGAAAUCGUACGUAGAGUGUAAAGGCAAAAGAGAGCUUGAUUGCAAGACAUACAGGUCGAGCAAGGAUGAAAAUCGGACUUAGUGAUCCGGUGGUUCUGCGUGGAAGGGCCAUCGCUCAACGGAUAAAAGCUACCCUGGGGAUAACAGGCUUAUCUCCCCCAAGAGUCCACAUCGACGGGGAGGUUUGGCACCUCGAUGUCGGCUCAUCACAUCCUGGGGCUGUAGUAGGUCCCAAGGGUUGGGCUGUUCGCCCAUUAAAGUGGUACGCGAGCUGGGUUCAGAACGUCGUGAGACAGUUCGGUCCCUAUCCGUCGCAGGCGUAGGAAAUUUGAGAAGACCUGUCCUUAGUACGAGAGGACCGGGAUGGACGUACCUCUGGUGUACCAGUUGU